AUACGUAGGGGGCGAGCGUUGUCCGGAAUGAUUGGGCGUAAAGGGCGCGUAGGCGGCCCGGUAAGUCUGGAGUGAAAGUCCUGUUUUUAAGAUGGGAAUUGCUUUGGAUACUGUCGGGCUUGAGUGCAGGAGAGGUAAGUGGAAUUCCCAGUGUAGCGGUGAAAUGCGUAGAGAUUGGGAGGAACACCAGUGGCGAAGGCGACUUACUGGACUGUAACUGACGCUGAGGCGCGAAAGAGUGGGGAGCAAACAGGAUUAGAUACCCUGGUAGUCCACACUGUAAACGAUGAAUGCUAGGUGUAGGGGGUAUCGACCCCUUCUGUGCCGCAGUCAACACAAUAAGCAUUCCGCCUGGGGAGUACGGCCGCAAGGUUGAAACUCAAAUGAAUUGACGGGG
rnacentral:rRNA from 1 species